CGCGGGNUGGAGCAGCCUGGUAGCUCGUCGGGCUCAUAACCCGAAGGUCGUCGGUUCAAAUCCGGCNCCCGCAACCA
rnacentral:tRNA from 1 species